AACGCUGGCGGCGUGCCUAAUACAUGCAAGUCGAACGAACGGAUAAAGAGCUUGCUCUUUUGAAGUUAGUGGCGACGGGUGAGUAACACGUGGGUAACCUGCCUCACAGCUGGGGAUAACAUCGAGAAAUCGAUGCUAAUACCGAAUGUGCUGAACAUCAUAAGAUGUUCAAGUGAAAGACGGUUUCGGCUGUCACUGUGAGAUGGACCCGCGCUGGAUUAGCUAGUUGGUAAGGUAAUGGCUUACCAAGGCGACGAUCCAUAGCCGACCUGAGAGGGUGAUCGGCCACAUUGGGACUGAGACACGGCCCAAACUCCUACGGGAGACAGCAGUAGGGAAUCUUCGGCAAUGGACGAAAGUCUGACCGAGCAACGCCGCGUGAGCGAAGAAGGCCUUCGGGUCGUAAAGCUCUGUUGUUAGAGAAGAACAUGGGUGAGAGUAACUGUUCACCCCUUGACGGUAUCUAACCAGAAAGCCACGGCUAACUACGUG
rnacentral:rRNA from 1 species